AUUGAACGCUGGCGGCAGGCCUAACACAUGCAAGUCGAACGAGCGGCGGACGGGUGAGUAAUGUCUGGGAAACUGCCUGAUGGAGGGGGAUAACUACUGGAAACGGUAGCUAAUACCGCAUACCAUCAGAUGUGCCCAGAUGGGAUUAGCUAGUAGGAGGGGUAAUGGCUCACCUAGGCGACGAUCCCUAGCUGGUAUGAGAGGAUGACCAGCCAAACUGGAACUGAGACACGGGCAAGACUCCUACGGGAGGCAGCAGUGGGGAAUAGUGCACAAUGGGCGCAAGCCUGAUGCAGCCAGUCCGGGUGUGUGAAGAAGGCCUGUGGGUUGUAAAGCAUUUUAAGCGAGGAGGCGUUACGCGCAGAAGAAGCACCGGCUAACUCCGUGCCAGCAGCCGCGGUAAUUC
rnacentral:rRNA from 1 species